GUCAACAUGGGUCUAUAGAAACUAUAUUAGAGAACAUAAAUAAAGAGAGGUACCAAAUUCCAGAUGAUUGGCCUUAUCAAGAGGCCCGGCAGCUUUUUAAAGAACCACUAGUAUGUACUGACGAAGAGCAGCUUGACAUUAAGUGGACUACUCCAGAUGAAGAAGGCUUAUUAACAUUUUUGGUGAAUGAGAAUGGGUUCAACAGUGAAAGAGUGACAAAGGCAGUAGAAAAAAUUAAAGCAGCCAAGAACAAGUCAUCACAGGGCCGGAUGGAAUCAUUUUUCAAGCCCGUCACUAAUCCUUCAGUAUCCAUUAAGCGAAAGGAGACAUCAGAAAAGCCUACCAAACAAGCAAUAACUAAGAAAUCGAAGUCCAGUGGUGGUAAAAGAAAGUAGAUGAGUUGGUUG
rnacentral:misc_RNA from 1 species